GAGGAAGGUGGGGAUGACGUCAAAUCAUCAUGCCCUUUAUGACCUGGGCUACACACGUACUACAAUGGCGUUUAACAAAGAGAAGCAAAGCCGCGAGGCAGAGCAAAUCUCCAAAAAACGUCUCAGUUCGGAUUGUAGGCUGCAACUCGCCUACAUGAAGUCGGAAUUGCUAGUAAUCGUAGGUCAGCAUACUACGGUGAAUACGUUCCCGGGUCUUGUACACACCGCCCGUCAAACCAUGAGAGUUGGCAACACCCGAAGUCGGUAGCCUAACCGCAAGGAGGACGCCGCCGAAGGUGGGGUUGAUGAUUAGGGUUAAGUCGUAACAAGGUA
rnacentral:rRNA from 1 species